GGCUGAGAAGGUAAAAGAAGAAUAUAAUUUGAAGCAUAUCCAAGUGUGAUGUAGACAUGGUAGGGAAAAACCAGCGUGGGAAAGGGUAUUUGGAAGGAGAAACCAGUGGGUGCAUGAAAACAAGUGGCAGAAAACUAGGGGGGCUAUGGGGGAAAGGAGGCUUCCCUAUUUAUAUUUACACAUCAUGUAUGUCCAAAUAAACACUAGUAAUGCUCUUGUCAUUCCCACCUUACAUUUGUCCAUUCUUGAUUCUGUCUUUUUCCUCCAUAUUACAUUCCAAAAUCGCAACUCCCACCUCCUUUCCAAGUGGGUAUCAAAAAGAAUCCCGGCUCAUUGUAUUAGAAAGUGUGAUUAAUUAUAUAGAGAGAAAGAUAGAGUUUUAUUCCUUUUUAUUAAAUUUAAUCUUAUUACUUUAUACUUUAAUAUUAUCAUUUAUAUUGCUUUUUGUCUAUAUAAUGCAUACAACUUUGAUUGUUGGUUGGACUGGUUCGAUGAUUGGGACCCAUUUGGUACCCUAAAAUUUUUCAAUCAAAUAAAAUGUCUAAAAAAAUAAAAUAGUUCGUGUGUUUGCCAGAUUGAUUAAAAAGAUACUGCACUCAGAUGUAGUUUUAUAAAAAAAUUUAAACCUUUUACAUUUUGUAUAAAUUUCAUUGAAUUCAAUAUACAAAUUGCAUAGUUGAUGAUGUAAAUAGAGUUAAGCUUUAUUUGAAUAAGCUCCACAAGCUUUUUAUUUUUCUUCUUAAAACUUUGAAAGAGCUUCUUAUUGUGUCGUAAUUUUAUUAAGAAAACUUAUAUGUUUUUAGUAAAAUAAAUAAUAUUAACGAUAUCACUUUUAUAAAAUCUAUUUAUUAGCUUAUGAUGAAAGUAAUUUCAUUAUGAAUUAAGAAAUAUUUUGGUCAAAAGCAUAAAAUAAUCUCUGCAUUAAAAAUAACUCUCAUGUUUUUAAAUAUUUUGGUCAUCUUUCAUAUUUUAAAAAGUAUUUAGGCUGAUUUUCUAAUUUAUUGAUAAUUUUAUCUCUUUAUAAACUUUUUAUCUUAUUAAUAAAUUUUAAUUUAUUAGAAAUUAAAAAAAGAAAUUAAUGAGUGACCAAAAAUAUUUGAAUACAAUAUACUUAAUUAAAAUAUAAAUAACUCUUGCCAAAAAAUUCUUUUUUUUAAAAGAAAAUUCUUUAUUUUAAAACUUCCAAAUUUUUACAUGGGACUAUGCAAACUUUUGAAGGAUCUUUUAGUAAAAAUAGUUAAUAAAAAUUAACAAGAUUUAUUUAUUUUUAAAAGUCUUCCAAAAAUUUUCUUUUAAAUUUCCUUUUAGAUUUAUUUAAACUAAUAAGACUUUUAUUUUUAUUUUUUAUUUUUGUUCUCACAGGAGUUUUUGAAUUUUAAUUUAUUUUAAUUUUUAAUAUUUUAUUUGUUUGCAUUAAUUCAUAUAUGGGAAAUAAUAUGUAUAAUUUUACAUGCUUUUAUUUUUCUUCCAAUAUUAUUUUCCACCAACAUUUUACCAUAAUAAUAUAUAGAAUUAUGUUUUUUAAUAACUAUAUUUGAAAUUGAUAUUAUAAUUUGAAAAAAAAAUUAAAAUGUAAUAAUUUUUAUUUAAAAUUUUUGUUUGAUUUCUCAAUAGUAAAAUUACUCCCAUUAAAAUUUAAGUGGAUGCAUGAAAAGUGGAGAAAUAUAGAAUAAAAAUUGUUGGAGUGGAGCCAUGUAGCCUGGUGGCUUUGAAAUUUAGGCUCACUAAUCACUGAUGUUGGAAUAAUGGGAUAUGAAAGAUAGGGAUUUGAUAUAAGAAAUGAUGGGGAUUAUGGUUAAAAAAAUGUAGAGAUUAUAAUGAUGGGAAACUUGAAAUUUAGGAAGUGAUUAAAGUAGUUCAAUUUCAUGCACUUUCUUAGGUGUAAUAACAUAAUAAUUGGUGAAGCGACCAAAUUUUGACCAUGGACCCACCAAAUUAAAUAUGAUCGACAAGUCACCACCUUUGAGUCUACUCCAAUUUCAGACAGUUUUUUUGGGGUAUAUUUUCACUACCAAGAGAAUAAAGUAGUGACUGUGGACUUGGGUUUGUUUUAUAUGGGGAAUAAGCCUUUUUUUCUUUAUUAUUAUUAUUAUUAUUAUUGUUAUUAUUUUGGCUUUUUACAUUUUUAAUGUAUUUAAUUUAAGGUGUUGAAUGUGUUCCUCCAUCAAAUAUGUGAUCAUUUUUAUAUAAAAAAGAAAGGAACUUUUAUUAUUAUUAUUAUUAUUAUUUAUGGUUAUAAGAUGCUUUAAAAUAUUUUAAAAUUUUGAGGUAGUAAAGCUUUUUGAAUAUGAAGGAUUAAAAAAAAGUGUAAAUUUUUAAAUAAUUUUAUUUUAUAUAUAUAUAUAUAUAUAUAUAUAUAUAUAUAUAUAUAUAUAUAUAUAUAUAUAUAUAUAUAUAUAUAUAUAUAUUUCUUUUUUAUGCAAAUUAAAUAUAUAUGCUAUUUUCCUACUUAUUUUCUUCCUCUAAUAAGCUUCAUGAUUCAAAUUAAGAUUUAAAAGUGAGAUAAACUAUAAAGUAGAAAAGUAUGAAUUUAAUCAAAAGAAGAAACCAUUUCCAUGGGCUUUGCCUUGAAGCUUCAAUGUAGACUCGAAUACCACUCAUUUAUUAAUAAUUGUAUCAUAUUUUUUUAUAUGAACAUAACUUAUUGUAUAAAUAAUAAGGCAUGAUUUGUGUAACACAUUUAAUAAAUAUGUUAAAUAGGUUUUGAGAUACAUGGACCACCACAUUACCAACAAGGUAUGAUUUGUGUAACAUGUUUAAUAAAAAUAUGUCAAAUAAGUUUUGAGAUAUACAUACCACCACAUUAUCAACAAGGCAUGAUUUGUGUAACAUAUUUAAUAAAUAUGUCAAAUAGGUUUUGAGAUACACGUACCACCAAAUUGUGAUAACGUGAAGGUCGAGGACAUGUUUUCCAAGAACUUGGAUCUCAAACUUCUAGAUAGCUCUUUUAGGAUUCCACUUUGCCACAAAUCUUUAAUCGUUGGCCCUACCCAUUUUCUCCAUGAAGUUGUGCGCUAGAAAAGUCCCUUAAAAUGUGGAACAAUGUUUUGUAUAAUUAUGAGAAAAGAAUAUAAAAGAAAAAGGGAGAGCAAAUGAGAAAAGAAAAUAAAAGAAAAAGGGAGAGCAAGGGGACUUUUGGAGCUAUUACGGUUUGUUUGGUUGCUAUUUUUGAAAAUUAUUUUAAAAAAUAGUUUUUGAGAAUAGUUUUUAAAAACAGUUUUUAUAUUUUUAAGAAAAAAAUAUAUAUUUGAGAACUGAAUUCUGAAAAAUAGUUUUUAUUCUAAAAAAAAACACAUAUUUUAUUGAAUUAAUAAUUUUUUUUAGAAUAAGUAAAAAAAAAGCAUGUUUGAAAAUUAUUUUUUAAUUAAUAAAAUAUUUUCUUCUAUUAACUUGAUAAUAUAAAUAUAUAAAUAAUUUUUAUAUACACAAUUCAUUUAAAUUAAAAAAAAUUAUUUCAUUUUGAAAUUUUUACACUAGUUAUAAUUUUUUUAACCAAAUGAUGACUUUGUAACUAUGUGUAAGUAUAUUAAUUUUAAUAAUUAAAGGAAGAAGAAAAUGUUUAUAUGUAGGGAUGGGGGUGGGGGUGUGGUGGUUGGGUGAAACUCACCUUUGUGGAAACACAAAAAACAAGUAGGAAAACACAAAAAGAAGAAAUAAAAAACAUGAAAAACAAUAUAUUCUAUGAAUAGUGAAAAAACAAUGAAAAUAUUUUUUUAUUGUUAGAAAAAAAGUGGAUUUUGAGAAUACGAAAAACACAAAACAAAAACACAUCCCUUUCCCAAAACAAGUUUUUUGUUUUCAAGAACAAAAAAUAAUUCUUGAAAAUAGGAACCAGACCCUACAUUUUUGGCAUUCCUAGUAGAAAGGAUAAAGUGGAAGCUUUCAACGUUGUUUAGAAGGACGUGUUAAAGAUUUCAUGUAGGUUUCAACCCAGAGUAAUCCAUUUCAUUACUUACAAACUCAACUAGGGCAUCAAUAGACUCAAUUUGAGUAGUAAGUUCAAUCACUUCAUCAAAGGAAUGAAGCUUCAAGCAAGGAUGAUAAAUAUCUAAGGUAGUAGUUAAGUGUCAGAUGAUUUAUGUCGCUAUUAGUUUUAUCAAUGCUACAUGUGAAGCAGAGGUGAUCACAUCAAGGGGAUUCCCCACCCCUUAGUUGAAGAAGAUAAAUUGGUUUGCAAUGAGAUGAUUUGCUUAUUUAAAGAGAAAAAUAGUCAAGAAAUAUAACUUAAUUAGCUCAAGACAAUAAUGGAUGAUAUUAGUAGCCCUUUCUUCAAGGAGACAUUGGAAGUUAAAGAGCCUACCACCUAGGUGUAUGUUUCUAAAGUUUCAAAUGUACGAUAGUAUGUUUCUAAAGACAUUGGAAGUUUAUUAUUGCAACCAAUACAUAAAUAAAUAAAUAGCAAUCAAGCAACUGAACUAAAUAAAAAAGAACCAGUAUGCUCACUUAUAUAUAUAUAUAAAAGAACAAGUAUGCUCAAGAAGGAAAAUCCACCAACUCCCAUCAUAAGUUAAAACAAUAGAUCCAAGACUUCGGGUUGGCUUUUAAUAAGCUUAAUGCUAUAUACUCCUCAUUCCUUUAAGGAACUAAAUAAGCUAUUAAACUUUUAUUAGUUGUGUUGGGAAUCUGAGAUUAUUUUGUUAUUAAGCAUUGGAUUAUUAGGGUGUCUGCAAUCCUAUCUUAGGUUUCUCUAGUUCUAAGCACAACAAAAAACUUGGUAUUAAAAACCAAAAUAGAUACCAAAGAUCUAGAGAAUAGCCUCAUAACUAUAAUUUGGAUGUUCCCAGAUUAAUACUUGGUCAUUUAGAAAGCUCUAAAUUUGUAGAUGAUCUCGUAAAUAAAGAAGUCUUCUAUCCAAUAACUUCUCCUUAAGUCGAGGCAUAGAGAUGGUGGAAAUCUCUAGGUUAGAGACUAAAGUUCUUUCUCUUGACUGAAAAGAGAGAGUGGCAAGAUUGAAGCCCUAAUCCCUAAGAGGGGUAUUUAUAAGUUUCUUACUAAGCUCAAGUGACUCAAGCCCACCAUGGGCUUAGGUCACUUAGUCUAGCCUAAAAAGAUGUUAAUUGUUUAAUUAACCUAACAAGACUUCAAAAUUAAUUCAAUCUAGAGAUACCGUUCAUUUGCCUCUAUGCAACCUUCUAUAAUUAACAAAAUGCUCUUAUGCACAUAAAUGAACUAAAAACUCACCCAACCCUUAUAAACCGUAUCAUCAAGGACUAUGAGCUUGAAUGGGGAUUAUUGAGACCCAUAGGACAGUAUCGGCUCCCUCAAAAUUCAUUUAUGAAAUUAACUCAAUAUCUUACUACAAAUAAUCAACUACAUAUCAGUAUUCUACAUAUAUUAUAAUGAAACACCAAGUGUUCGAGUUCGUGACCUAUUAUCCAUUAUAUACAAUCUCCCCAUGAACUGGUAUUUGUAAUUUAAUAAGGUGAAAACUAUUAGUCUCUCAAGAUUACCUUUAUCAUCCUUGAGUUAUAGCUAGGUUCUCUAAUUAUGUGAUCAAAUGACAUACUCUAACUCACUAAGAGUAUAAGACAAAUUCCACAAAAUGAAUUACUACGAACCCAUAAAUUUCAUGAUCACACAUCCUUAAAAUCACCCAAUAGGACACAUUGUCUCAAAGUCUAUAACAUAUCAUGGUGUUUCUAUUAAGAAUACAUGUUGUUACUGGCUUUCAUCAUAAUCACCCAAUUCAUAUGGAAUAUUUGAUCACUUUAAGAUCUCACUAGUAGAUCAUUGCUAAGUUUGGCACAAAAUCAAUAUUUUCUCAAGGUUGAGAGAUAAGACAAUGUAGCAGCUUGGUGAAGUCAUGACUAUCCGAUAGUCUUAUAUCAUGACUUACCAUAGGUUCUACCCAAUGUGUAACCAUACACACUAGUACACUCACUAUGGGAACCCUAUCUUGAUGCUCAAGACUAGCUAUCCCUCCAAUUAGGAGGUGGUGUACUACAACCUUAAAUGGAUUGCCUAAAUCCACAAACCAGUUGUGAACAAAUCAUCUACAUGCAAAGAACCCAUGACUUGGAUCUUUCAUGCAACUCCUAAUGCACCCAAGUCAUAUACAAUGCAAGAGUUGUUAGGUUAUAAUGCUUAUGGAGUAUAAUCCAUGUAAUAAGGAUAGAUAAAAGUAAGACUAGAAUAUCAUUAAAUGAAUAAUUAAUUCCAAAUAUGUUACAUCAUGUUAAGGAGAAAGAUAGGGAUGAUAUUGUGCAUAGCAUCACAUUCCUAGACAUCCCAUAGGUGAAUAUAAGAUUUCAAAGCAUGUUAUUAGGAUGUACCUCCACAACGAGAAAUUGUAGCAAUUUUUAGCUAAGGAAAAAGAGAGGAUUCCUGAAGUUCAAAAGAUAGUGGAUAAUGUUGGGGAUGUCCCCACCCCCCCUCCCUCCAACCCCUCCAUCUAGAACAAAUCAAUUUUAGUUAUUCAUGAUGGCAAUAGAGGAUUUCAUUGUUAGCAAAUGACAUCUAUAAGAGGCUAGUCAAGUUAGAAUCCAUCAAUUUGGACUUUGCCAACUCUAUCAAGGAGAUUUAAUGUUAUGCUAUUAUGAGGAAGAUAAUGGUGUGCCACAACCUCACAAUGGUGCAUGGUGAUAACAUUAUUGAUUGAGAAUUGUUAAGUUAAAUGAAUAUUAGUUGAUUUUGGGAGUUCAAUUGAUGUAUUGUUUAUUUCCACCUUAAGUGGGUUAUGAAUUUUAGCUACAAAUGGAAGUACAUUGGUUGGAUUUGAUGAAGAUGUCAUGAGUGUUAAAUGAUAAGUCACCCUAUUAGUUAUUAUAGAGCCAAAUAUUGCUAUGUUAAAAUUAGUAAUGGUAGACGUUUCUUCACCUUAUAAUGACAUCCUUGGAAGAAAAUAGAUACAUCAAAUGUAGGCUAUGCCAUUCAUUUAUCAUUAAAAGUUGAUUUUCCUCUUUACAAUUGGAAUGAUAGAGACUUGGUAAUUAAAUUAGUGUAAGAAUGUUAUUGUAUACCUUUGAAGGGAGUUUCAAGAAGUUGGAAAAUUGACAUUAGUGAAUUAUUGUAACUACAACAUCUAUUGAGGAAGAAUGAAAAUGCUUUCUCGAUUGCAAAAGAGAAAGAAAUAAAUUGAGUGUAUUACCUACAAGGAAGGAAAGUUUGUAUAAGUUAAAGUCACACUCUUCAUAAAAGGAUUUCUUAUCAUUUUGUCUUUUAUCAGAGUGUUCAGAAUUUAACGAGGAUGUCAUAAAUUUGGAUGUCAAACUUCUUGAACAACUCCUUUAGAAUUCCAUUCUAUCCCAAAUCCUUGAUAAUUCUAUUAUUUGCAAUCAUUACCCAUUUUCUUGAUAAAAUUGAGUGCCAAAAAAGUAACAUAAAAAAGAGUCAUGUUUAUAUAAAUUUGAGAAAAGAAUACAAAAAAAAAAAAAAAAAAAAACAAUGAGGCAUUUGGAGCUCUUUCAUUGUUUGAGUUGUUUUAAUUUUUGAAAUUAUUUUAUUGAUUCAAAAUAUAAUGAAAUAAAUCAACACAACAAAAAAUGGUCACUUAAGACCUAAAAUUCUAGAACAAGAUCAAGAACUAUAAAUACCAAAAACUUUGAAUAAAAAUUUGGAUGAAAAUAGUUUAAGAGGUUUUAAAUUAAACAAAAAGGUAAAAAUUUCUUAAAAAAUAAAAAUAAAAAUACAAGUGAAUUAUUAACCCAAACAUUUAGAAUAUAGACCUCCAAAGCCCAAAACUAAUAUAUGUAUUCAAUAUCCAAGUAUUUGGAAUAAGAAUCACAAUUUGAACAUGAGUCAAUAAUAUGAUUUGAAAAUGACAUAAAAAUUCACACGUUCGAGUUGAGUAUAAUCAUGUUCAUGUCAUAAUUGUGUCAACCAACAUAAUAUAGUUAAUAAAUGGCUUCAAGUUCGAAUGACCAACUUGCAAAACCCAACCCACUCAUAAUUCCCAUAGCCUAGUUAAAUAAUUAUUUCGGGAUAACUUGUUUAUGAAACUUGACCCGUUUAACCUCUAUAAUUUUUAUUUACUAAUUUUAUACAUUUUAAAAAUAAUAUAAAAUUAUUACAAAUUAUAAAUCGAAUAUAAAAAUAUAUACCUCAGGCAUAAAUUUUAAAUAAUUAAAUUAAUGAAAAAUCUAUAGUGAGUCAUGACAUUAACUAUUAGGUGAUUAUGAUCUCACCAAACUACUACAUUAUAUAAUUUAUCAAUCUUGAGAGGAUACCAAACUUGUACUAAAAUUUGUGGUAACUUUGACUUACGGGUGAAAUCUUAAUUAAGGUAGUCAUAUAUAUUCCUAUGAAUUUGGUCAUUAUUAAUGGGGACAACUGAAAAUGGUAUUCUCAAUAGAGAUGCAGAUACCAUGAUAUCUCUUAAGAUUGGGAUGAUGUGUCAUCUUGGGUGGUCCUAAGGACAUGUGUUGGAAAAAUUUAUAGUCUUAGUAAUUUUUUAACUAAAACUUGACAUAUAUUUUUUGUGAGCUAAAGUAUGUUAAUUGAUUACAUAACAGAAGAAUCUGAGACUUAAAGAUUGUAGAAGUAAUCUUGAGAGGUUGAUAAGAUUUACUUUGUUAGAUUAUGAUCGACACCGAUUAAUUAGGAGUUUACAUAUAAUGAAGAUACUGGAGUGUAAAUAACUCGAUGUAGUAGGAUGUUGAAUCAACUUUAGAAUUAGAUUUUGAGGAAGCCAAUAUUUUUCUAUGGGUCCCAAUGAUCCUUACUUGAGCUUAGUUUCCAUGGUGACAUAGUUUAUGAGGACUAGUUAUGUUUUUUAUUCACUUGUAUGCAUAAGGACAUUUUGAUAAAUAUAUAAGGUUACAUAAAAGCUUGUAAAUAGCUCUUCAGACUGAGUUAAUUGAUUAAUUAGAGCCAAAUAGGGCUAAUAAAUCAGUUAGACCCAUGUGAGCUAGUUUAAGUAACCCAAGCUAAGAAUGAGACCAAAUUAUUUAAGCCCACUAGAAUCCUAUAUAAACCAUCUUAGGGGUUAGGGCUUCAACUCUAAACAAUCCAUUCUUCUUAUUCACUCUAGAAAGAAAAGAACCUUAACCACUAACCCCUUCAAAGGAUUCCACCCUUUGUGUGUCAGGAUUUGAAAAAAGCCAUUAGAUAGAAGACUAUUGAGUUUAAGAGAUCUACCGUAUAUUUGACACAUUUAAUAGGAUUUGAUUUAGGAACAUCCAAAUUUAAGGUAAAAACAUUCUCUUCUAGAUUGAAAAGUUUUUAUAUGCUUAUUUGCUUUCAUUACUAAGAUUUAGAAAGCCCCCGAUAGAUUUUCUUAUAUCCUAAUGAUCCAAGGAUGGGAAUGGAGUAAUUCAGAUAUCCCUACACUUCUUGUAAACUCUUGUUUGUUAACCAUGUUUUCAUAUUACAUGGUCAUUUUUUUUAAAUAUUAAAAAUAGGAUAAUUUGUAUUGUAGUUAUGUUUGUCAGUUAUAAACUAACUAAUUAAAUGGAUUCUACGACCCUUUUUAGGUUAAUUUUAUUUUUUUUUAUUUUUUUUAUUUUUGUUGGGAAACAAGUAAGAAAUAGGGUUGCAAUGUUGUGUGUAUUUCUCUGAUUUCAUUUUCUUAUUGUAAGUGGGAAACAAGGUAGCAAGCACAAAUGAUUAUUAUUGUUGCCACUUUAUCAUAUUCUUACUAACAAAGGGCAAAUUUGGAUACUUGAAAAAAAUAAAAAUAUUUUAUGCUCAUAAAAGAGUACAAUGAUAAAAAAAAGUUGAAUCAAUUCAAAUCCCAAAAUCAUGUCAUUGUUUUAUAAAUAUCUUCCAAAAUGUGAGAUUCUUUGGGAAUAUAUUUUUCUUGAUUAAGAUUUUUACUGAACAUAUAUGUGAAACCAAGGUUUGGUUAAUAUUGAUUUUGAUGAUAACAAAACAAGGUUUAGAACUAAUGAUUAUAUUUUAAGUGUGAUUAGGCUAGACGAUUUUCAAAGUGGCAAUCACAAAGACAAAUCAAGUUAAGGAGAAAUCAUGAAGAAGAAGACCACCUCAAAGAGAAGUGUUUUUCAAGACCCAAGUUUCAUAAGAUCUCUUUGUAAGGUUGUUGGUGCACUAGGAUUUUCAUGCAUUACAUUUUUUACUUAUGCACCAAAAUCAUCCAAGAGUUAUUUUGUUUUAAAUAUUUUAAGAAUUGGAUGAUUUCAUGUUUUUCAACUAAAACCUUGUGUUAAAUGUUUUUCAAACUUGUUUUAAAAAGGUUUUAAGUUGAAAAAGUUAGUUGUUGAGCCAAAAAACGGCUCAACCGGUUGAACAGGAUGAGGAACCGGUCGACCGCAAGCUCAACCGGUCGAGGUCUGGGUCGACCCCCAGCUCAAUCGAUCGAGGCUCGGGUAGACUCCCAGCUCAACCGGUUGAGGGUGCAAAAAACUUUCUCUUUCUUCCAGAAUAGUUGUUCAACCGGUCAAGGUUGAACCUCAACCAGUUGAGGUCCGAUCGAGGUCCGGUUGAGGCCCAACGGUCACCUGUCAAACAUUAAAUGCUAACAGCUAGUCAACCGAUCAACCCCUAACUUGACCAGUCGAACCCCCAAACGACUAGUUUGACUUUUCUCUUCUAUAAAAAGGCUCCAAUCUUCAUUGUUUAGUGAGCUUAACCUUCUCAAACUUUUCUUGAAUAUAUUUGAGCCUUGGAAGAGUGUUUUUGAGUGCACCAUUAUUCUAAAACUUGCAUAUCCUUAGUGCACCUUUCAAUCCUAGUUUUCUUGUAUAAUUUGAGCUUAAAGUUCUUGUGUUAGGAUUUUUAUGAGAUCAUUUAUUUGUAAACCUUUGAGAAGAAGUUUCUCAAGAGUGUGGUAUUUCUUGAAAAGUGUAAAGGGUGCUUGGAAUCAAAAGUUUAGGAGGGUGAAUUGGAACCACAAUUCAAUUGUAUUACUUGAAGGCUUGGUUUGGAAGCCUUGAAUUAGUGGAGCCUCAAGUUCGGGAUUGAAGCUAGAGGAGAGUGGAUCUAGGCCGGGUUGCGCCAAACCACUAUAAACUCUUGUGCUUACAUUCUCUCUUCCAUACUCUUUAAUUUAUAUGCAAUUGUCUUUAUAUUACUCAUUAUAUACUUGCAUAUAAUUGUCUCUUACAUUCAUAUAGUUUAAAUUUGCAAAAAGAGACCAUCACCUUAUUCACCCCCCCUUUAAGGUGAUUACCAUAGGUUGGAUUAACAUAAUUUUUCUAACAAUAUAUAUAAUAUAAAAAUCCUCAAAAUAUUUAUUGUUGCUUAGAAUAUUUUAAUAAAAAAAAUACUAGAAUUUUUUUAACGGGUUACUUGAUUAAAAGAGUCUGAGAAAACCCAAUUUUAGAAAUUUAACCCUUUGUCCAUUUUUUGUCUAAUUUUGACAAAAAUACUCUUAUUAUUUUCUUAUAAAAAUAACAUAUGUAAAUAUUUGAAAUGAUGAAGGACAUUUAUGUAAAAAAUGAGUUAUUUUUUAAGUAAAAAAUAUGAAAAAGGUUAAAUUCAUAAUUUGGGAAUUAUCUCAUCUUUUUAACCAAAUAUUUCUUUUUUUAAUAGGUUGGUUGAGUUAGAAAAUUGUAUUAAGUUUUGAAUGGACAAAAAAUCUAUUUUAGAGAACAGUCUACAAAUGGGUACAAUUAUGCGGAGAAUUAAAUCAUUUUCUACCAUCAAUUUUGACGCAAUCAACAGGCCCAACCCAAAUUGUUUUCAGUGGGCCAGGUUGACAAAGCCCAGACCCAGUAAGGUUUAGCAAGCUGUAGUUCUGAGUUAGGGUUUAUCUCUCUUGUUUCUCUAAACUCGGUUUCAGAAUCAUUCCCACAUCAGACCAGGGGAUUCUCUCUUUCCAAAUCUCUCAUCGCCAUGACGAAGUUCAGAAAGCUUGGUCGGCCCACUGGCCAUAGAAUGUCCAUGCUCAGGUUUCAAUUCAAUUAUAAGUUUUCCAAAUCUUGGGUCUUACCAGCCGUACGGACUGAAUGUAGUGUUUUUAAAAUUUUCUUCCUUAUUUUAUGCCUUCAGAACAAUGGUGUCGCAGUUGGUGAAGCACGAGCGCAUUGAAACCACCGUUGCCAAGGUAAAACUGCUUCCUCUUUCAAUGUUUUUUGUUUACAUCUUUGUUUGUUUGCCGUGAAAAUGUCGAGCGAUGGAAGACGAGCUUGAUGUUGAAUGCAUUUUGGUGAUCAAGUCACAGAAACAAACCUUCCCCAUCUCUCUUCUCUCUGUAGCUUCUCACUUCGCCUGAUAGAUAGUGGGUAUUUGUGUUUGUUUAUCCGGGGAAAAUUUCCCAAAGUUAUCUGUCACUUUCCCAGAAAAUUAACAGUACCCGCGGAUUUUUACUUCGGGGGUGCGUCUCCGGACCAGUGUGGUGUCAUGCUUCCGUCAGGACUGGUCUGUAUGUAAUUUCAAAUAUGCUAUUUUUUGGAUUGAUAUUGCUGUGCUGUGUGCUGUUGAUAACUCAGAUAUGUUAUUUGUGAUAUCUGAAAGUAUGGGCAUGAUGGGGGUUUGAGACCUGUGUUUUGUUUUGUGUUUUUUGUUUGGUUGAAUGUACUGGAUUUGAAAUUAUAGAGAAGGGCGAGGGGCUUUCUUGGUUUGGGGGUUUUUUUGUGAGUGGGGAUUUAACCUGGGUUUGGAGAUUUGAGGCAUUUUCUUUUUGUGGAUAUUGAUUUUUUGGGGAUUAGAACUGAAACUAAGGUGGGGUUUGGGAACUGAAAACUGAAAUAUGCAUGCAAGGAGUGGUUUGGAUCAGGAUAUGGUGAUAGUUGCAGCUGUUUUGAGAACUUGAGCAUUUGAUUGCUCGAUGACCAACACCACUGUGUGUGAGAAUUUGCUAAUGACUGUGAGUCAUGGUUUAAAGUCACAGCAUCACUCAUUGACUUGGGAGGUUGUGAGGCACAUCAACCUUGACAUCUCACUGAGGCACAUCAAACUUGACAUCUUGGAUUGGUAUUAGAUGAUAGACAAAAUAUACUGGUUUGAAAGCUUAAAACUUCUAAAAGAGUUUUAAAAGAACUCAUAAAUAAAAUUAUAUCACAUGUAACAUUAUUUGAAUACUCAUAAAAGAAUGCAUUCAGAUUAAUUUAUAAUAAUAAUUUAUACAUAAUUGAAAAUAAAAUAGAGAUAAAUAUAUUAAAAGUAUUUUCAAAACAUUAUUAUUUAAUUUUACUAUAUGUAGUUAGAUAAUUUAAUUUAUUAAUUUAAAUAAAAUUGUCAUUAAUUAUUUAUACCCAUAUCCAUAUAUGAAGUUGCAACUUUGAACUUGGAAAUUACUUGUUCUGUGGUACUUUUUUAUUUUCCAAUGAUAUCCUUUCGUAGGCAUUAAUUUAUCAAUAAAAUUUUUUCUUAUAAUGUGUAAUACAUUUGUUUCAUAUUUCGUUGAGACAUUGUGCUACAAAAUGUACAAAUUUUAGCCGAGAAAAAUGAUAUAGUUAUUGUUUAAAACAUAUGGUAUAGAUUAGUUUUUUAUGAGUUAGCAUAAUAUAUAUAGGGUUACUAAUGUUGAGGACCUAGCUUGGGUUCUAGGUUGUAAUGUAUGGGUACCCUCCCCACUAGUUAUCUUGUCUAUCAUUUGGGAGCCCCUUUUAGAUGAUGAUGAGUGUGGGAUGUGGUGGAGCAAAAAUUUCAGAAAUAGCUUGCUAUGUGGAAGCAAUAGUACCUAUCAAAAAAGGAGGACUAACUCUAAUAAAAAGUACUUCUUCUAACCUGCCAAUUAGUUCAUGUUAUUAUUUGUCAUCUCGAGAAAGGUAAGCUUAAGGCUGGAAAAAAAUCCAAAGAGAUUUCCUUUUGUGGAGAGUUGCUUUGGUGAUACUAUGUCUUUGAACCAUGCUCCUUGCCAAGUCUGCUGGAAUUCAGACCAUUGUUUUAAUCCCAAGUGCUUGUGGGGUUGUAGAUCUGGGUUCAGUGAGGUCAUCACCUAAGAGCUUAGAGAUGUUGCAAACCAUAUGAUGUUCAUUCUUGAUGUUUUCACCAUUUAUCAGGGUCAAGCCAACCUUACCAGUGUUGAAUGAGAAGAAAAAUCCAAGUGCCCCUUCUCCAUUUUGGGGAUUGGGAAGCGAGGAGAAGGAUUUCUGAAGAUUUCUAGGUAGGAUUUGAACUCAGUUUAAAAGAAGCUUGCUGUUAGAAAGGCAGAAGAGAGGCUGUGGUAAGGCUUCCAAAGUGGGAAUAGACUUCCUUUCAAAAACACUCGAAAUGGUCUGCAUGGUUCAAGUUGGUGGUCACAUAUGCAAGGUGUGAAACCAGUGAGCACUGCAGAAAUGGACAGGGCUCAGGGCCUCAUCAUAAUCUACAUGAGAUUGUUAAUGGGGUUAUAGAGGAGUUUCAGCUUAACCAAUUCCUGUCUCUGAAGCAGGUGCAAAUUCAAAAUAAUUCUGCAGGGCCUGCUUCAAGGUCUUCUAUGUUGGUCCAGCCAAUGACUGUUGUAUUUCUCAAAAAUUAAAAAAAAAAAAAGAGGGAAAUCUCACUAUUUCAAAAUUUGACAAAUUUCAAAUCGGGAAAGCUUUAGAAUAGGCAACAUGUUUACUUUCUUCUUUCAUAGGUGCCCGUGUGUAUAUGUAAUUAAAAAAAUUCACAAUAAUAGUAAUUUGCAUUAUUUUAAAUUUCAAUAAGUUUAAAAUUUGGAAAUUUGUAUGAUGGAAACAUGUUUGUUUCUUUGAUUUUGCAAUUUCAGGCUAAAGAGAUCCGGCGGCUUGCUGAUAACAUGGUACAACUUGGAAAAGAGGUAUGGUUAGCACAUUUUUUUGGGGGGUUUUUCUUGUGUUUUUCUGGAUAUUAUUUCUGAGUGGGUUGAGCCUUGAACAUUUUUUUUGGAUAGCCAAAUUGAAGAUUAUAGAUUAAUAGAUGCCUUGAAAAAGGUCAAAGUCCCAAUUUCUUGGAGACUAAAAAUUUAUUAGAAUUUAAACUUAAUUUUUUUAUUAGACAAGUUUUUUGUAUUUCACUAACCAUUUUUAAGGUUGAGCCUAGAAACAUUUCAAUCCCUAAUUUCUUUUGGGAUGGCUAUAUAAUUAAAGGUAAAACUACUAUUCCUUCUGGUUAGAAAGGAUUACUAGAGUUUUUAAGAACAGAUUGGAAAUGCCAAAUAAUGUGAGUACAGAACCCCUUCUUCCUUUUUUGUUUUUUAAACCGGAGAAUAAGAAGGUUUAUUUUUCAGUGGAUUCCUUUUGUGGGGUUUCUAUGCUUAAUUUUGAUGGUGGUUCUCUUUGUGCUCCAGCCAGAAGGGCAUUGGAGGUGUUAUAGGGGUCACAACAUUAUCAUUGUUUGAGAUUACUCUUAAGUCUAAGGAUUUGUACUGGCUGUAAAAGCAGAGAUUUUAUUCUUUUUAAAGGGUUUGAAAUGGCUUCUUCUGUUGGGAUCCCUAAGCUUAUUCUCAAUGGAGAUUUUCUAUUGUCUAAUCUUGGUUCUUAAUCAAUCAGAGAGCCUUUUGGCAGUUUAUUUCCUUGAUCGGGCAGGAUUAAGGAUGGUGUGAGGGAUGUGGUGGUUUCCUGUUAAUAGGAAGCCCAAAUCCACUUAGCCAAGAGGGGAGCUCUGUCCAAUAAUUCUUUCUUUUUGUUUUAUUUUUCUCCUUUUCUCUUUCUUUCCUUUCUUUUCUUUUUCUUUUCAUGCCCCUUUUGGGGUUUUGAGGUAGUGAGUGCCUAGUGCUUGGUUUUUUUCUAUUUCUUUUUCUUCUUGGGGACAGCUUUGUUUAUAAAGAAAAUUAUUUUUAUUCCAUCUUGAAAUUAUUACAGGGUUCUCUUUGUGCUGCAAGGCGUGCAGCAGCCUUUGUGCGAGGGGAUGAUGUGAUUCACAAGCUAUUCACUGAACUGGCUUAUAGAUACAAGUGAAUCUUAAACCUGUUGCAUUUUCAGUUUUCUUUUGUAUGGUUGUAAUAUUGGAUGGGCAUUCUCUGUUUCAGAGAUAGAGCUGGUGGAUAUACAAGAUUACUUCGAACUCGCAUACGAGUUGGUGAUGCUGCACCAAUGGCCUAUAUUGAGUAAGAUUGUAUUUGACUUGUUAUUGCGAUUGUUUUUUAGGAGUCAAGCAUCUGUCUGACACUAGUGUCUUUCGAAUGAUUUUAGAAGAUGUUACAAUAUUUCUUUUCUAAAUAAUGAUUAUAACUAUUAAUGUAAUGACUAAUGAGGAUAUAAUAUUCAUCAAAAUGGUUGUGUUACAAACAUAUUCAUUAAGAAAUUAUGAAAUUUUAUAUAAUACGUAUUUGAAAGUAUGUCAUCUAUGCAAAAUAUUCAUUGUAAAUUAUUUUUUGAAAAAACUUGGACAAACACUGUUAUUAAUGUGCUUUUUCAAGGCUUGACAUUAAUAACUACGACAAUAAUAGUAACAAUAAUAAAAGAAGUGAGGAAUUCUGUCCUCUGAAGUUAUUCGCUUAUCUGAUAUUUCCAUUGAUGUACCCUGUUUGGCCUUUGUUGAUGUCCGUCCUUGUUUUAAUUAUAUGUUUACUCAUGUGAACAGGUUUAUAGAUAGAGAGAAUGAGCUUAGACAGUCAAAACCUGCAACACCUCAGCCACCACAGAGAGUGCCCUUGGAUCCCUGGACAAGAUCCCGUCUCUGCAAGCAGUUUGCUCCCCCUAAGGAGGAUAAGAGCUCUGAUCCUGAGAUUUGAAAUGAGUUGAUGGCUUGUAAUAAGAUUUUGUUCCAUUCUUUCCUUCGCACAUGGCUGAAACCUGUGCUUCAAUUAAGUUUAUGGGGAUUGCCAUUCAUGGCAAUGUAUCAAUCUCUGUUCCCUGACCAGCCAUUGUGAGAACAUAAAUGGGGAUUAGUGCAGUGCGGAUCGGUAGCAUGUUUGGAUUUGGAUUGAUAGGGCUAAAAAAUAUGGAGGUGAACCCUGUGGCUUUCUUGGAAGACAUUAGCAUGUUCUUGAGUGGUCAUUAAUAAGUUGUGACUGGUUUAUCUGAUUAAGCUUGUUAUACAUCCAGAAUAAUUUGCUCAGAAUUGAUCCAGUUGGAUUCUUUUCAAAGUUUGAGAUUGGGUUGUGGUCCAAGUGUUGGGGUUUUGGUUGUGGGUAGCAAACUAAUCUACAGGAAUGAGAAGAUGCAGUGCUGAUUUUGCGGGUUGUUGAUGCCAAACCCACCCCAUCCAGUGGCUGGUGAAAGGGAGGCCCCCCUUGAAUGCAAAGCAUGUCCAGGAUUGAGGAAGGAGCUGAGGUAGCUGCAUGUCAAACAUGAAAUUUGGUGAGCUGGUGAGCGUUACAAAUACAUUGUUAACCUUUUGAUAAAUAGAAGCUUAGCUUGCAAGUUGAGACUCAUUCCCCACGGUUUGUAACCAGCCAUAAUCUUUGGGCUGUGUUUGGCUCUAGAAAAUUUGAGGGAAAGAAAAUAGAAGGAAAGUUUUUUAAAAUCAAUAAAUUAUUAUUUUUAUGUUAUUUUAAAUUCAUUUCACUUAUUUUUCCUUUCUAAUGUAAGAAUUAAAUAAUCUUAAAAUACAUAAAUUUUUAAUUAAUUACAAUUGUAUUGGAAUUUUUUUCAUUAUUUUCUAUGGUAAAAUGAAACUUGAGAAAAUAACUUGUUUUUGGUAUAUAUUUUUUCUGGGUAUUCUUUGAAAAUCAAAUAUAGCUUUGGAGUGUGGAAGUAGGAUCCAAACAUGCCGCUGAUCAAAUAUGAAAUAACCAUAAUAUCCAUUUGGUUGGGUCCCAAGUUUUCUAUAAUGUUGUAUGUAUCCCUCACUUGCCUUCUUUUUGGGGGUUUCUAAAAAAACUGCAGGAGUAUUAUUUUACGAUAUCAAGUGGUCCAAAGGACCAGAACCUCCUUAAAAAAAAUGAUACCCAGGAUAGACUGAAGUACAGGAAAGGCCAGUGAGACAUGAUUUGUUGGUAUCACAAAGACCUGAAUCAUGAGUCAUGAGUCAUGACCAGAGAAAAGCGUUUGAAGCUUCGGCUUUUGGUUGCUUUGCUUUCAAUACAAAGUACAGGAUACAUGUAAGUCAGGCGUGUCCACAUCAUAUGGUAUGGUCUGGUCAGCCUUGUCUGGAAAGACAAGAUACAGCCAAUAGCAGAAUACUUUCUGGAAGUUCUAUGCAUGGAUUAAUGGAGAAGAGAUGGGAGAUGGAGUAACAGUGAGAUACGUAGCGACUGGUGCAAGGCUUCAAUCAUAUAACGAAGUCCCACCUUCUCUCUGUCUUCUUCUCUUCCCCACAUUGCUUCAUUUUCUUAUACUUGAAAAAUCGUUUCUUAACCUCUCACAAGUCUAAUCCAUUAUCAUCAAUCACCCAUGAUUACUAUUUCCUUUAACCACCUCUCCUUCUCUGAUUUACUUCAAUCCAAAGCCAACAAUACCCUCCUUCAGCCGUCUGGCAGGCUCCCAACUUUAUUUGGGAUUUUAAUUAUUUGCUUCACUCUCACAAUUACCUGUUAAGAAGUUUUUAAAUGAUGAUUGAAGUGAUAUUAUCAAAAAGCUCCAUCCUUGCUUCACUAUCAACUCACUUGUAAUUAUACCUAGCUUUCUGUUGUUCCUAUUUUGCAUAAUAAACGUGUGAUUUCCAUGAGAAAGUGUUCCUUAAUUAUUUCCCAUGGAUUUUUUUUUAAAGAUAUAAAAUAAAAACUUGGAAUUGAUAUUUUUUUUUUUUUUUUAAAAAAAAAUGUUUUAGAACAAGUUAAAAAGACUUUUCUUUGUUUUAUUACAAAAAACGUCAUAAUGUUAUUUUUUUUUUUAAUAUCCUAAAAAAAUCAUUUUUUUUUUCUUUACAUGAACCAAAAAUAAUUUUGAAAACCUAAGAUUUGGCAACCCUUUUCAAAAACGGUUUUCUGCUCUUCAAAAUAAAAAAAUUAGGUAAAUAUGUUUAACAAUUAAUAACCAUUUUUUGUUUUCUAUUUUUUAAGAACAACACAUAAAGUGUUUUAUGGUAACAUUUUUUAAAUUGUUUUUUUAAAAAAUAAUUAUAUAAACAUGUAAAAUGAUUAAAAAUAAAACAUUAGAAAUAAAUAAGUAUUUUUAAAAUAUAUUUAAAAUAUUUAAAAUAAAUUAAAAAUAUUUUAUGUUUCUAAAGAAAUUUUUGUUUUACAAAAUAUAAUGCAAUAGUUUUCAAGAAUUAUUUUUUAAAACUAUUUUUAAAACUAUUUUCAGAAAUAUUUACCAAACAAACCUUAAUAUUUUCAUUUAUUUUAUCAAAUAAGCCUUAAACCUUUUUUCUUCAAUUUCGAAUGCGAGUAGAUUUUAAAAAUGUCGUUUUUUGCACUGAAAUAAAAAUCCAUACUUUAAAAUUCGAAAUAUGGGAAAAAUUAUUAUUAUUAUUUUUUAAAAAUAAAAUAUAUAUUUCAUUUGAUUUUAUUGUUCAUAUUGCCUAUUGUGUUAGGUGAAAUAGUCCUUGAAAAGACCCUUAAACCUAUACAACACCCUAAUUAAUAUUACUUAAAUAUUAAGAUAAAAAAUAAAAUUAAUGAAAAAAUAAAAAAUGAAAAUAGAAACUUGGCAUUUAGUGGUUAUCUACGUGGGUCAACCAGUGACACCUUAUCCGUCCAUUCGUUCAAGAUGGACAGACCUCUAUUCUCAUUACCAAUAAAAUAAUGAAAAAAAGGAAAGGGUACCUACUUCUUAGGCCCAAGGCAAGCUAGUGAACUACCAAAUCUACCAUUAUGUUUAGGGCAAAAACAACCCUUAAAUAGGGGCAACAUUGUCCCUAAGAAAAUAAAUAAAUUAAUAAGUGUCUUUAUAAAUUUGACUUACAAAAUGGUACCCACUUUGGAGGGGGCCUAAGAAAAUAAUGAUUGGUCAGUGUUGUUUACUUGGUAAGUGAGAUGGGACAUUUGAUCAUCAACUAGUUCAACCCAUCUUUCUUUUUCCUCAACCAAAUCUAGUAAUCUUUACACAAUCAUAGCAAUCAUCUUUUUCUAUUUUUUCAAAGGAAAAAAUGCACACAAAACUUGAAAUUAUGGUCAUCCUUUUAAUUUAAAAUUUGAUUACAAGUCAUUGUGACGUAUUGUUUUUAAGAAUUAAUUCGUAUUUGUGAAUUUAACCAUUUUUUAUAUUUGAAGAGUAACAUUUUUAAUAUAAAUACCUUUAACUAUUUUAAGUAUUUAUAUAUAUAUGUUUAAAAAAAAGUUACUUUUAUAAAAUAAAAAAAAUAUUUUUGUCAAAAUAAGAUUUUAAAAAAAAGAUGAACAGGAUAAAUUUUCAAAAUCGGGUUUUUAUUGACCCUUUUAAUUAAAUAACCAUUUUUUAAUGUUUUUUUUUAUAUAAAUAUCAGUAAUUUACCCAAAAAAAAAAAAAAAAACAGACACUAUCAAUAGAAUUUUUUUUCUUUAGAGAAUGUCAUGAAAUAAUUUUUAGAAUAAUAUUUAAUAGAUUUUUUUUCAAAUAUUAUUAUUUUUCUAUAUAACACACUAUCAAUAAUAUUAUUAAAAGAAAAUAUUUUUUUUUGUAUUUAAUUUGAUUUUUAUAAGAGCCUUAUAGAAUGAAAACUCUUCUUAAUCUUCAAUGACCUUAAUUAUCUUAAUCUUAGAUCGUAUUAGAAAUUUAGGGUAUGUAGGAUAACUGUUUUUUAAAACAAUUAUGAAAAACAAUUUUUGAGAAUAGUUUUUCAAAACUAUUAUGUGAUAUUUUUGUAAAACAAAAGUCUAUUUAGAAACUUAAAACAUUUUUAAUCUAUUUUUAAAUAUGUUUUAAAAAUAUUUUUUUUCUAUCUAAUAUUUUAUUUUUAAUCAUUUUACAUGUUUGUAUAAAUAUUUUUUAAAAUGGUCAUUACAAAAUAAGUAAAAACAGUAUAAAACAACUAAAAUAUAUUAUUUAAAAACAAUUUUUGAUUGUCAAACUUGUUUUCUUGAUUUUUUGUUUUAGGAAAAUUGCUUUUAAAAACAGUUAUCAAACAAGUUAUUAGAUUUUCUUAAUUAUCAUUUAUGACACUUUUAUAAAAAGAUUAAAUCAUUAACAAAAAUUUAAUGUAUGGUUUGUAUAUAUUUUUAUUUUAAAUUUUAAAAUAAAAAAUAAUUAUUUAUAUUUAUUUAAAAAAAUAAGUUUAUCUCAUAUUAUUAAAUUUUGAUUUAUAGCAUAUUUUGAUUUGAGAUAAUAAUUUUUAAACCCAUAAAAAAUUACCAUAAUUUCAAGUUAGACUUACGAUAGCAAAUGCAUUUCUUCCUUUUAAAAUGAAAAACAAAAUGUUAUUUUUUUUUUUAAAAAAAGUAAAAAAUAAAAUUGAUCUCCGAAGAUAUAUUACAAUUCUAUGUUAUAUAUUCUUUUGAAUGAUGUAAGGUGGUGUUUGUUUUUUUAAUUUUUUGUUGAAAAUAAGUUGCUUUCUGAUUUUAGAUUAUUUAUUUAUUUUAUUUUUUAUUGAUUUAUUACUUAUUUUGGAAAACAAAUUCAUAAAUAAAAAAUAUUUAAUUUUUUCUAAAUAUUAAAAGGAAAACAUUGAUUUUUCUUUACUUAUUAAUACUUAAUAAAAAUAAAAUAUUAAAAAAAAAUUAAUUCUUAAUACGAUUAAAUACUAUUUAAUUUUAACCGCUAAAUGUUCAAAGAAUAUAUAUAUAAUUUUUUUUUUCCAUGAAGAUUUCUAUACUCCAAGCCACACAAGCACAAGUAAAGAAACCCCACAAUUUUAUUUUAUUUUAAAAAGAGAAUUCCAAAUGUAGAAUUUAGAUACGAAUAAAUAAUGAAAAAUGGAAAGGUAAAUUUAAAAGGACGUUAGCUCUAUCUCUCUCUAUAUUGAGGCUCCUUCCUCCUUUGAGUGUGCCUCCUUCACACCACCACCACCACCUUUGUGCGGAGCUCAAGACAGAUCACUGGUCUGCUGUCUCUUUCUCACCUUCUUUCUCAACACCUCUCCUCUCUUUUUCUUCUUUCUUCCAUUUGGUUUCUGUCUGCAACAUCUCUUCUUUCUUCCACGUUGUGUUUCUCUCUCCCUCUGCAUUAAUGGUGUUUUGGUAGGUUUUCAUUUCUGAUAUCUGUUUUUUUUUCCCCUUUCAAUACAAUUUGGUUUCUGGGUUCUUAACAUUUCUGCUUGAGUUUCAUAGUUUCGUUCUUUGAGAUGACUUAAAUACUAUUCAUUCUCCUGUUUUAUCAAUUUAUUUCCCUAUGUUUAAAUCUUCCUCUGUUUCUUCUUUAGCUCUUUCCUUAUGGGUUGUUGUUUUUUUUGUCCUUUCUUCUUUCAUUUAAUGUACCAUGGACUCCAUAAUAAAGACAGUCUGUUUUAUUCCAAUUUCUUGGACCUGUCCAAUUCAUGAUUUCUGUUUGUAUAUUGUGGUGGAUCAGAUGUUGCUUUUCUGCUGCUUCUAAGAGGUAGAGAUGAGAGGAGCAAUGGGUUCAACGCAGAGCCCAAUUGAGGCUAGACAACGGCUAUCUGUAUCUAUGUAAGUUUCUCACCGUCUACCAAUGGGCUUGAAUCCAUUAUAAUCAGAAAUAUGGUUUCUUCUUUCAGUUACUAUCCAUAACUUCACCCUUCAAUUAAAACCAAGAUAACAUUUGGAAGUAGAUCUUCAAAAUUUGCCUCCAGGAAUCCUCUAUUUCUGUCAAGUUUAGAUUGCAUUAUCAUGCAGCAGUUUCUUUAUGGGUUUGGGAUGGGUAAAUUUCACUCACAUUCCUUGGGUUUUGAGAUCACGUGAGUUUGAAAUUUCAUAAAAUGCCUCUCUUAUUUUAAAUCAAAUAGGAGAUAAAUGAAAAUAAAAAGAAAGAUAUUUGAUAAAAUUUUAACCAAACGAUCACUAAGAGUCCAUUUGAUAGUGAUUUUAGGAGGCGUUUUUAACAUUUGAAAAAUUUUAUUAUUCAAGUGUUAAAAAUAUUAAAAACGUUUUUUAAAAUCAUUAUCAAACACACCCUAAAUGUAUUUAGUCCAAAUACUUCACCAGAAGUGAAUGAAGUUGGGAUUAGUCAUAUUUUUUUUUUAUUAUUUAAAAUAUAAAAUUGUUGUUCUAUUUUUGUUGUCCUUUGAGUGAUUUGUCAUUGAUUUGAUUAUUAGAUAUUACAUCAUGAUGUCAACUUGCUUUGGGUUGUUGUGAUUCCAACGUUUGGACCUUAAGCUUAUGGUUCCAAAGUGAUGUUUUUGUCGUCUACUUCUAUUGCUUCAAAAGUAGGCAUCUUCAAAUCUCUAAUUUUCUUCCUUUUGUGGUUGUAUUAUCCAUUAAUCUUCUCCUUAAAGCACAGAUCAAAGCUCUGAACAAAGAUGAUCCACUCAUGGUAGAAACAAAAAUAUUUUCUUAUGUUGAAUUGAAGAAGUGGCAUGAGAGAUUGCUUCUUGUUUGCAAAGAUGUGAUAAAUGGAGCCUAAACUUGUUCUCUUUGCCUUGGUCAAUUACCAUAUUUUAGGGGACCUGGAAAAGACAUCUUAGAAGAUGAGAUGCUUUCUUUCGAAUUUAGUCAUGUUUUUGGUGUUUAUAACAGGUGGUUUGUUGGCUAAGAGCUGUCUCUCUUAGUAGAUUUCAGUCAAGUCUCACCCAAAUUUAUUGUUGAGAUUCAUCAUCCUGUUCCUGGAUCUUUUCUUGAAAGCUACAUGUAGAGUAUCAAGGAAGUAAUGAUCAGCUAAAGAAGAUUUGUAACUGUCAACUGUAGCCUCAAAAAUGUUUCAAUGAAGACAAUAAGCAUAUGGCAUUUGAAAAUGGUGCCUUCAUUCCAUCCAUAUGAAAAAAGAAUUCAGGCAUGGCCUUUUGUUAACCUCAUGCAUAUAUUAACAAGGCCACUGAAAUGAAUGGUUCUUCUACUAGUUGCACAUUUUUAUCGAUCUUCUACUGAUCUCCUGCAUGAUUGAGAAACGUGACAUUACUUAGAAUAUAAGUUCCAAAUCAAAAUAUGCAGCAAUAUUUGUGAAUGGGCUUGUUCUCCUAAUCCAGAUGUUGACAUUUAUACCUGUUCCUACACUUCUAUGUGCAUAAACACAGUUCCCAGUUAGAAUUAGACACGGAAAUUAAAACUAGGAAUUGUUUGCUAUUUCGUAGGCAUUUUUCUGUUACGCCAGCAAUUUUCGCCGCUAACAGUUGGCUUGGUGAUCUUCUUACCCUUUGCUUGUCUUGUGUCUCCAUUAAUGUCUACUAAUUUUUUCUUGAACACCUACUUGAAUCAGUGAAGAUACAUACAAAAGAAGGUCACAGAGGAGUAAAGUUAAAGAUGAGAAGCCCUUUCACAUCCCCAUACAAGACAGGAGCACAAAAUGCAAGUUUCCUGCAUUGAAGCUGGUACUAGUUAUAAUUGUAUGUGGCACUUUUAUUACACUCUUCUACUCUCCAGCUGUUUGUAAUGACCAUAUAUCACACGCUAACUCCCGGUAGGUGUUUAUUCCCCUUCUGCUCGUGCUUUGUUUUUGAAUAAUUUUAUGGGAAUUUGUUAUUUUGUUGCUUUGGUUUACCUUUUAAAUGGGAAAAUUGUUCUUUUGCAUGCCAAACCAGUAUUGUUUAAUGGAAUGCAGGCCAAGUUUUGUUAACAGGUGGAUAUGGGGUGGUUCAGAUCCACGGUAUAUAUCGGAUUUAGAUGUUAAUUGGGAUGAUAUCUCAAAAGUCAUUGAUCAGCUUGUUGACAUGAAUCAAUAUCAGGGAAUUGGUCUUCUAAACUUCAAUAAGACUGAAGUCAAUAAUUGGAAGCAGCUUAUUCCCCAAACAAGUCACAUUGUUCUGCACCUGGACUACGCUGAAAAAAAUGUGACCUGGGAUACCUUAUAUCCGGAGUGGAUUGAUGAGGAAGAAGAAGAUGAAGUCCCCAUUUGCCCAUUGCUGCCAAAGCUUGAAGCCCCGAAAAAACGGCUUGAUCUUAUUGCUGUGAAGCUCCCCUGCCGGAAUGAAGGAAACUGGUCCAGAGACAUUGCUCGGUUGCACUUGCAGCUGGCGGCAGCACAGCUUGCAGCCUCUGUCAAAGGCAAUUACCCUGUGCAUUUGCUGUUUAUUACCAGCUGUUUUCCAAUACCAAACUUGUUUACUUGCAAGGAACUUGCUGCCCGUGAAGGGAAUACAUGGUUGUACAAACCAAAUUUGAAUGUACUGAGGGAAAAGGUCCAACUCCCAGUUGGGUCAUGCGAACUUGCAGUUCCACUCAAGGUCAAAGGUCAGUUAUAAUCCCAUAACUUCAAUCCCUUUGAGCAUUAUAAGCUUGAAAAUUUUCUUCCAAUGUAUGCAAAUGGAGUUGAUAGAUACUCAUCUAUAGAGUUCUGGUUUCUCCUUCAUGCUCCUUAAAAUUAUAACUCAACUUCAUUUUUUGCUCUAUAAAAGUUACUAAUACUAAUGUCUAUGAUCUCUUGAAUCAGAGCGGGUUUACUCUGGAGAUGUUCGUAGAGAAGCAUAUGCAACAAUCCUGCAUUCUGCUCAUGUCUAUGUGUGUGGAGCUAUAGCAGCAGCCCAAAGUAUUCGUUUGGCAGGGUCCACCCGAGACCUUGUGAUACUUGUCGAUGAGACAAUCAGUGAUUACCACAGAAGUGGACUUGAGGCAGCUGGGUGGAAAAUCAGGACAAUCCAAAGGAUCAGGAACCCAAAAGCUGAAAAGGAUGCUUACAAUGAAUGGAACUACAGCAAGUUCCGCUUAUGGCAGCUGACAGACUAUGAUAAGAUCAUUUUUAUUGAUGCAGAUUUGCUUGUGCUGAGGAAUAUUGAUUUCUUGUUUGGGAUGCCAGAAAUCUCUGCAACAGGAAACAAUGGCUCUCUAUUCAACUCUGGUGUAAUGGUGGUUGAGCCAUCAAACUGCACAUUCCAGCUUUUGAUGGAUCACAUCAAUGAGAUUGAGUCCUACAAUGGUGGAGACCAGGGGUACCUGAAUGAAAUCUUCACAUGGUGGCAUAGGAUUCCAAGACACAUGAAUUUCUUGAAGCAUUUCUGGAUUGGUGAUGAGGAAGAGAAGAAACAAAUGAAAACUCAUCUUUUUGGAGCUGAGCCUCCAAUUCUUUAUGUCCUUCACUAUCUGGGUUUAAAGCCAUGGCUGUGCUACAGGGACUAUGAUUGUAACUGGAAUUCGGACAUAUUUCAAGAGUUUGCAAGUGAUGUUGCUCACACUAGGUGGUGGAGAGUGCAUGAUGCAAUGCCAGAACAACUGCAGCAGUUUUGCAUGUUGGGCUCUAAGCAAAAGGCAGGAUUAGAAUGGGACAGGAGGCAGGCUGAGAAAGCAAACUACAGUGAUGGACAUUGGAGAAUCAAAAUAAACGAUCGUCGUUUACACAAGUGUAUUGACAACUUAUGCUCCUGGAAGGGCAUGUUACGGCACUGGGGCGAGACAAAUUGGACAGACGAUGAAAUUUUCACUCCAACACCACCUGCAAUCACCAUGGCAUCUCUUUCUGGCUAGUGAGUUGCAUUUUUCCUUUUCUCACCAUAUUUACUUUUGUAAAUGACACGAGUUCUGGAAAAUGGAUUCAUUUUUUGUUGUUGUUGUUAUCUUAUUCAUACGCAUAAAUAUGUCUUAGACCCGAUUCUGAGAACUGGGGAUAGUAGUUUUCAUCACCUUAGAUGCUUCUGAGGCUGAUUCAUUUACGGCUUUGUAUCAGAGUUGAGAGUCAUCUUAUAAAAGAAAACUCUUCUUUCCAUUUCUACUUGUAGCCAUGGAACUACAUGUGCCUAAGUACUCUAUAAUGGGAGUCCCACUAUGACUUUAUGGAUAAAUGUGGAAGUUGGAUGUAGUGGGCAUUGAAACGCUAGCCAUCAAUGACUGUAAGCCACAAUGUUCAGACAAUACUUAGACGACAAACAAACAAAUAAAUGAAUAUGACAGAUAAACUUGAAGAGCAAAGUGGGUAAGAGCACUAUGAUGGAAGUGGAUACCAUGUGAUUUGCCACUAUGAUGUUCUGGCAUAGGAUUUGGUUUCUAGAAUUUUUUAUGUGAAGCUGUGGUAUCUCAUAUGGUUCAGGGAAGAAGUUACUAGUAUUAUAUUUAUGUAGUAGACUUUUUUAACUGUAUUAAUUUUGAGGGUCUAUUGAAUCCAAAAGAUAAUAUCUAUAUAGGAUGGAGUGGGUCAUUAUACAAUUGUAUCAAAACCAAUUCUCGACCUCAAUGUUGGACUGCCCUGAUGUUGGACUGCCCUCAUAAUCCAAUGGGACACAACAAAAACAUUGUACUUGAAGGAGUUCUUAACACUAUUCCUAGAAGACUUCUCUUGAUUGUACAAACAUUUUUUAAAGUUGUGAGGCUUAUUGAGUCUAAAGUAAACAAUAUUUACACAGGACAGAGUGGUCCUUAAGAAAGAACUUUCAAGAAAUCUAGACAAAAUACAGUGUAAGAAGAAUGAUCUUCUCUUGCUAGAAUACAAGCUUUAGACAUUUGAUCAGUGUUCUGUAUCAGGCAAUUGUAUCUAGGAAGAGAAAACCACUGCAACUAGGCUCCAAGAAUAAGAAAGUCGGGGAACAUCUGAACAAAAAAAGGCCUUGUACAUCAAAAUCAAAUUUGACAUUUACUGCCUCGUGACAGCCAGAGACAGAGAGGCCUAAUCUUCUUUUACUCGCAUAGCCUCAUGUGAAAGUGAGAAUUAUAUCGUUGAAUAAAGUAUGACAAUGUCUUUGGCCUUUUCUAAGCACAAUCAUAUAGCAGUAAAAGCCAAAGUUGCCCUUCAGCAACACAACCUUAGAUGGCCCCUUGAGGGGCAGUGUAUGUGAACUGGCAAAAUGCCUGAACCAUUCAUCUCGAACAGAGGCACCCUGUAACACUUUGAAGGUCACCUCCUUUCCAACUCGCUCUACAAGUCUUCAAGGACAAAGUCAAGAGAUAAUGAUACUUUUGAGUCUAUGGAAAUCUGUCACCACAUGACCCGCUCAAAUUAUGCAACUCCCCUGUUUUCCACACAAGCAUAGUAUUAUGUCCGCCAAAGUCAUUGGCAAAGUCGCCAUUCCCCUUUGAUAAUAUGGCUGUAAGUUUGCUGAGUGAAAGUGAUUUUUUCAUGGCUUAAGUUUUGGUCACAAUUUCUUGGGAGAAAAGCAUAUACUGAGCUGUAUGAACGGCCAUUAAAGCAAAAACUUGUUGCUUCAACAGUGACUGUGCCACACAUUCAACCAAACCUUGUAUGGAGACCGUUAUGGCAAGGGACUAAGUAUCGCUACACCAUAGAUUUCAAAGUGAUGAAGAAAAGUAGAACUUUUUAACAUGAAGUCUCAAUGAUAAAGCAUGUGAAAAUCAUUUCUUCUGCAAAAAUUUUCACUUAAAAAGCGUCCCAAAGGACAUAGAUGUGGAAACAUGACUGCUACAUGAACCAGUGUAUACAUACCGUAAUGUUCAACUUCAGACGUCAAAAAUAAUUGAGUCACAGUCAUGGUGUGGGAAUGAAAUGGACUAUAUCCACUCUGUUUAAGCAAGACAAGCCUUAUUCAUUAAAAAAUGCAUGUUAUCACUUGGAAGGGAAGUAAAACCCUAGAAGGAAGAAAAGAUAUACGUGGCAGAAACUUUGAAAUUUCUCUCCUCUAUUAAUAGUUUGAGUACAACAUGGACUAAAAGCUUCUAUCACUAUGAAGGGAUCUAAACCUCCCUCUCAGAUAAUCUAUUUCUACAAAUGUAGCCGAUGUUACUAAUCAAGAAGUUGUAGGAAUCCACCCAUUACCUUGAAUGAAAUUCUGUACUGAAUACGUGUUUAAGUGCUGAGCAGGAAUCUGGCUACUCCAUGUUACUCUUGCAGACAAACUAGCUCCCAAUCCAGAAUUGUUGAAUUCCCCAUAAUAAAGUGUUUUUAAUGCAAAGUCACCACUCCAUGGCAGCCACCCUUGUGGUGUGACAAGAGGCUCCAAGAAGCACCGGAUAAAAACAGUCCUUGAAAACUCCUUCCAUGGCCUCCCCAAGAAGUUCUUGUGUACUUUAGGGUUGCUGUAGUACAACUUCAUGUAGUCGUCGGUGCCAUUGACCACACAAUUUUGGAAAACAAAGCCUGUGGUUUGGGCAGGGUCUGUUCUACCAUGUGCUGUCACAGCGUUGUUCUCCCCUUUUUCUGGUUUGAGUUGCCUGGGGCGGAUUAGGAUGAGGCAGUCUUGGAAGAUUGAAGCGGAGUUGCCAAAGAUGAAGUCCACGUUGCCUUGGAUGUUGCAUGAUUUGUAGAACUGGCGAAGGGAGUGAGCGUAGAGAGUGUCUUGAUUGCCUAAGAAUUCACAGUUCUCAAUCACUGAUAAAUCGCUACCUGAUCUGAAAGCUACAGCUUGGUGGGCAUCAGGACCGGCUGUGUUUUGGAAUGUGAGACCACUGGCCAUGAACCCAUCACCACUCACACCUGUGCCAUGAUCAAACACCAUUCGAUUGAUCAAUAGGACCAACAACGCCUUAGGAGUUAGGAGCAAGGAAACAAAGAAAACAGCGUGCAUGUUGGCUCACGUGUCAGCACCAUAGUGUGGGUCCUACUCGUGAAUUCCCAUACGUAAGUUUCAAACCAACUAACGUCCUAUCAUUCAGCACAAUUUUAAUAAUAACUAAAAUAACCUAUUACUAUGAAUAAUAAAUAAAUAUCAUACGCUUUCUGCGACAUAUAGUGUUCCUACUUCUACAUUUGAUUACUGCCUACCCUACGUGGCUAGAUGCCAUUGGCUAAAAUCAGAAAAGACCAUCGGAAAUUCAAGUAGUCGAUUAAUAUCACCCAAACAACUUACGACUUACCGACAGUGGCUGUGUUGUAGGUGGAAAUUCCAGGCUGGCCCACAUUCAACGAUCCCGUAAUUACCGUUUUACCCAUCCCAUCUCCCAAAAACACCACGUUCUUUUUUUCCAACGGCACCCGAACCGUCUCCUCAUAGACCCCUUCUCGAAUCCGAAUCACGAACUUCCGGUCACCGGCGUUAGCCGGCGCGGCGUCCACCGCUUCCUGCACCGUCUUGUAGCACCCGUUUCCGUCCUUGCACACGGUGGCGUCCGGCGGAAGACCAGUCGGAACUCCACCUUUGACCCCCAAUCCGGAUUCUUCGCCCAACCCGGAAGGCUCCCAGAAGCCGUCUCGCUCCGUUUUGGGGGGCCUCCAGGACCCGAUGUCGUUCCCGAAAAUAUCGUAAGAUGCCAUCAUGCUUAGACCGUUGCUGCUCAGCCCAAGAAGGGAGUCUAAAAACGACAUCGUUUUGUUCACCUGUUGAGUGUCGUUGGCGUACUUCAAAGCCGACCAGCAAUCGUACUGGUAUAGUAGAGCCGCGCUCACCCAGGCCCUCGCGUCCUUGAUCUUCCCAUGUGGCAGAGCCUCCAUCGUCGAUGAGAUCCGGUACUCGGAGUUAUGCAACACCUCCAGGCAGUUCUUCGCCGCCGUCGUCCGAUUCAGGUUCCGUGCGGAUGCGUCCAGGAUGUCCUUUACCAUGGACUGCGCCGUCUUGAGAUUCUCCAAGGAGACCCAUAAGGCUGAUUGGAUGACAUCGAUGGGCUUGGGAUCGGGAGGGACCCGAUCGGAAGCGAUCAGAGAGGCCUCGCAGGUUUCUGGGUAACGCGUAGCGGCGCAGGCCUGGUGGAUCUGGGGAGGAACAGAGGCGGUGGAGGGCUGGGGGGUGAUGGGUUGGGGGAAAUGCGGGAGGGAGUGGCGAGGGCUAUGGUGGUGAGAGGCGGAGGAGAGGGAGAAGAAGAGGAAGAGGGAGAGAAGAGCGAGAAGGAAGAGAGAAGCCAUGGAGAGGAUAAGGAAUUUAGAGAAGGAGUGGGGCUUUAUAGGCUUUCUGGAGUGCAUGAUGAUAGUGGAAAUGGGGUUUGGAUUGUAGCGAAUAUUAGAGAAGAAGAGACUAGGAGGAAUGGAAGUCACGGGUGGCUUCUCACGGGUGUGAAGAUAGAAAUCGGUGAUUCUGUUAUUGGCAGCAUUGACUAGGCGUGGAAUGUAAAGCAGAUAAAACCAAGCCACUUACCACUAGGUCUGUAUUUUGGGUUGUGCCUCAUACCUGCACCACCUACCUCCCUCCCUCCCUCCCUCCCUCCCUCCCUCCCUCUCCCUGACUCAGAACUCACAAAGGGAAAGACCCAACAAUUAGGGGACAGAGGCUGUUUUCCAGAGAACCAUAAACCCGCCCUUUUAAUUGACUUUGUCAAUGCUUUCCCAUCUUUUCUCCUUUCAUCGCUUUCCAACUUAAUGCGCGUAUUUUGGUCAUUUUCAGGUAAAUCAGAGGCUCGUUCGAUCAUACUGUAACCACCAUAUGGAAGGCUUGGAGUCUACGCUACUUGGAUUUUAAUCUGAGUGAGUGAAGGCAAAAUGAAUAUGAGAAGAGAGCAAUUAAAAUUAAGAUAAUGCAAGUUGCAGCUAAUGUAAUUUGUCUAGGAAUUGGAAUGAAAUUGGCCGGUAUAGUUUGGAACAAGAACUAAACCACUACGGAAUCUUGGAUAUCUGAAGUUGUAGAGACAAUCAAGUGAGUCGGUGGCAUACAGUGGAAAGCACACUAAGGUAAGUGAUAUUGUAUUUAAUUGUAAUAUAAAUAAAAUAGUGUGAUUUGCUAUAUGCGUUAUAAGUAUUUUUUUUUUUUAAAAAAAAGAACACCAGCCUACUAGACUUACAACUCACUAGAAUAGAUGAAGAGAUAUGUUUGGUUACUAGGAAAAUAUAAGCAAAAGAAAAUAAAAAUUAAAAAUAAAAUGCCGAGGAAAGUGAAUAUAUAUAUAUAUAUAAAGUUAAUAAAUUAUUUAUUUGUUUUAAAUUUUUUUAUUAUAAGAAUUAAAUAAUUUAAAAACGUAUAAAUUUUUAAUCAGUUUUAAUUAUAUUUGAUUUUUUUUUUUUGCUAUUGUUUUUAUAAGAUCAUAUGAGAAAAUAAUUUUUUAAAUAUUUUUUUAGUACUUUCUAAGAAUCAAUCACGGUGAAUGAGUUUAGAGAGAGAAAUGUUCAUUAUCAGUGGAGUUUCUUGAAUAAUAAAAGUUGCUCCUCAAAACCAAAGUAGGUAUCAAAAGUAAGACCAAGAUAAAUACAGAGUCUUGUUUGUUGGAUUGACUUUUGAAAAAUCAAAAACUCUUUUUCAAACUUGAUAAAACUUUUAUGCUUUUUUGACUAAUUUUGUUGAAAAAUAUAUGCUUUGAAAAAAACUUAAUAUAAAAACCUAGAAAAUAUUGCUUCUUAUAAAAAUUCUAUUUUGAAGUAUUUGAGAAUAUGACCUUUUUUUUCUUUGAAUGUUAAAAAAAAACAAUUGAAGAAAUUAAAGUCUCUUUUGCUUUGGAUUUGGAGUCAUAUUUAGGUGGUAUUUGUUUUUUGAUUGAAUAGAAAAAUCUAAAAUAUUUGAUUUUUUUUAUUCAACUAAAAAUAGUCUGUUGACAUCAUCUAACAUAACUAAAAUAAAUUGGUUAUCAAUAAGUUCAGUUUAAUUAUAUUGAUUGAUAUCAACAAGUUACUUUUAACUGAAUAAAGAAACUAAAAUAUUUUAACUUUUUCUAUUCAGUCAAAAAACAAACGUCAUCUUCCUGUUUUACUUUUUGAUGACUCCAAGGCCAUAUUUUGGAAUUCCUUCUCUAGCCUUUUUGCUAGCACAAUGUUAAAUUGAAGAAGGGAGGUCGAUUAAGCUGACUUUAAUUGUUACGGCAAGUUUAGUGACCCAAGCAAUGAUAGGAGAGUCUUCAUCUUCGAUUUCAACUGCUACUACAAUUCGUAGCAAAUCCAUUGAAUCAACUAAUUAUAGUAAAAUUGAAGGAAAAUAAUUUUUCUUAUGGAAGCAUCAAGUAGGUUGUAGGAUUAAGGGUUAUAAAAGGGAAGGUUUCAUUUUUUGAGACUCGAUUUGAUGAAUUCAACCUUUAAUAUUGCCCCAUCAAAGUCAGGAUCAACUUCUGAUGUCUUGGCUUUUUGCUUGCAUGAGUCUUGGUUUUCUCCUACAACUUGUCAGUUUUGAUACUGUUGAGGAUGUUUGGAGCAUUUUAUUUAUUCGAAUAAAUAAUGUAGCAAUCACUCUUUAGAAUUUGUGUUUUAUUAUGAUAAUUCAAUUUCUUACUGGUUUGAACUAUGACAUAAGAGGCUAGGUCACCCAGCACCAAAAUUUGUUACUAGAGUUUUCUCACAUUAUAAAAUACAAUUUCCCUUGUAAAAGAGAAAACAUGGACAAUGCUAGAACUUGGACUUACCUUGCUUACUUAGGCAUCAAUGCCACUCACACUAGAAGAUGGCUACAUCCCUUAGCUACGGCCGCAUGUAGUAGCUAGUGUGACUUGAUGAUCUAAAGUUGUGGCCACUAUCGCAUUCUUUUCACGACUAAAGGCUUUGUAUGUUUGCGACUAAUCAUAACAGCAACCAUAAGCGUGUAGAAAUAGAAAUGCUAACAGCAUAGUGUUAGACAUGUGCUACGGCCAGUGGAUGGCUGCCACUAUAGGUUGUGAUGUGGACACAGUCACGCUUGAUCAUGACUAUAAGGUCAUUUAUAUAUAUAUGAAUAAAUCAAAGCAAUUACAAAGCAUUCGUUCAUCUGUUUUUACAUUUAUAAUCAAAAUACCCUAUUUAGAGUUGUUACAAAUGAUCGAAUUAGUCAUAAAUGAAUCCCUAUUGAGCUCACAUUGUCAAAAUCAGUUGGUAUUUGUUGGCAAAGAAGCAAGUUUGAGAUUCAUGAAUCAUUCAAACAUCUACAUUGAACAAGAAGAUUCAUGAAAGUGUUGUCAUUAGAGAAAUUCAAAAUUGAUUUAAUAACUUCAUGCUAUUCAUAAAUCAUUAACAUAGUAUCGUGUCUGCGAGUCAAAGUCAUUAGCAAAGUCGCCAUUCCCCUUUGAUAGCGUGGCCGUAAGUUUGUUGAGUGAAAGCGAUUUUUUCAUGACUUUAAGUUUUGGUCACAAUUUAUUGGGAGAAAAGCAUAUACUGAUCAGCUGUAUGAAUGGCCAUUAAAGCAAAAACAUGUUGCUUCAACAGUGACUGUGCCACACAUUCAACCAAACCAUGUAUGGAGACCGUAAUGGCAGGCUACUAAGAAUCGCUACAUCAUAGAUUUCAAAGUAAUGAAGAAAAGUAGAACUUUAUAACAUAAAGUCCAAAUGAUAAAGCAUGCUACAAAUUUUUUCAACUUGAAAAGCGUCCUAAAGGACAUAGAUGUGGAAACGUGACUGCUACAUGAACCAGUGUAUACAUAUCAUACUGUUCAACUUCAGAUAUAAAAAAUAAUUGAGUCAUGGUCAUGGUGUGGGAAUGAAAUGGACUAUAUCCACUCUGUUUAAGCAAGACAAGUAUUAUUCAUUAAAAAAUGCAUGUUAACACUUGGAAGGGAAGUAAAACCCUAAAAGGAAGAAAAGAUAUACGUGGCAGAAACUUUGAAAUUUCUCUCCUCUAUUAAUAGUUUGAGUACAACAUGGACUAAAAGCUUCUAUCUCUGUGAAGGGAUCUAAACCUCCCUCUCAGAUGAAUCUAUUUCUACAAAUGUGGCCGGUGUUACUAAUCAAGAAGUUGUAGGAAUCCACUCAUUACCUUGAAUGAAAUUCUGUACCGAGUACAUGUUUAUGUGCUGAGCAGGAAUCUGGCUACUCCAUGUUACUCUUGCAGACAAAUUAGCUCCCAAUCCAGAAUUGUUGAAUUCCCCAUAAUAAAGUGUUUCUAAUGCAAAGUCACCACUCCAUGGCAGCCACCCUUGUGGUGUCACAAGAGCCUCCAACAAACACUGGAUAAAAACAGUCCUUGAAAACUCCUUCCAUGGCCUCCCCAAGAAGUUCUUGUGUACUUUAGGGUUGCUGUAGUACAACUUCAUGUAGUCGUCGGUGCCAUUGACCACACAAUUUUGGAAAACAAAGCCUGUGGUUUGGGCAGGGUCUGUUCGACUAUGUGCUGUUACAGCGUUGUUCUCCCCGUUUUCUGGGUUGAGUUGCCUGGGGCGGAUUAGGAUGAGGCAGUCUUGGAAGAUUGAAGCGGAGUUGCCAAAGAUGAAGUCCACGUUGCCUUGGAUGUUGCAUGAUUUGUAGAACUGGCGAAGGGAUUCAGCGUAGAGAGUGUCUUGAUUGCCUAAGAAUUCACAGUUCUCAAUCACUGAUAAAUCGCUACCUGAUCUGAAAGCUACAGCUUGGUGGGCGUCAGGACCGGCUGUGUUUUGGAAUGUGAGACCACUAGCCAUGAACCCAUCACCACUUACACCUGUGCCAUGAUCAACAGUUAAUCAAUAUGACCCACAACGCCUUAGGAGUUAGGAGCAAGGAAACAAAGAAAACAGCGUGCAUGUUGUCUCACGUGUCAGCACUAUAGUGUGGGUCCUACUCGUGAAUUCCCAUACGUAAGUUUCAAACCAACUAACGUCCUAUAAUUUCAGACCCUUCAGGAUUUUAAUAAUAAAAUAACCUAUUACUAUGUAAUAAUAAUUAAAUAUCACACGCUUUCUCUAUCAUAGUUGGGCUAAAAUAUAGUGUUCCUACUUCUACAUUUGAUUAAUGGAUACCAUACGUGUCCAGAUUUCAUUGGCUCAAAUCAGAAAAGACUCAACUUCGGAAAUUCAAGCAGUCACCGUCCAAUUAAUAUCACACAAACAACUUACGACUUACCGACAGUCGCUGUGUUGUAGGUGGAAAUUCCAGGCUGGCCCACAUUCAACGAUCCCGUAAUUACCGUUUUACCCAUCCCAUCUCCCAAAAACACCACGUUCUUUUUUUCCAACGGCACCCGAACCGUCUCCUCAUAGACCCCUUCUCGGAUCCGAAUCACGAACUUUCGAUCUCCGGCUUUAGCCGGCGCGGCGUCCACCGCUUCCUGCACCGUCUUGUAGCACCCGUUGCCGCCCUUGCACACCAUGGCGUCUGGUCGAAGACCAGUCGGAACUCCGCCUUUGAACCCUAAUCCGGAUCCUUCGCUCGACCCGGAAGGCUCCCAGAAGCCGUCCCGCUCUGUUUUGGGGGGCCUCCAGGACCCGAUGUCGUUCCCGAAAAUAUCGUAAGAUGCCAUCAUGCUUAGACCGUUGCUGCUUAGCCCAAGGAGGGAAUCUAAAAACGAUAUCGUUUUGUUCACCUGUUGAGUGUCGUUGACGAACGUCAACGCUGACCAGCAAGCGUACUGGUAUAGUAGAGCCGCGCUCAUCCAGGUCCUCGCGUCCUUGAUCUUCCCAUGUGGCAGAGCCUCCAUUGUCGAUAAGAUCCGGUACUCGGAGUUAUGCAACACCUCCAGGCAGUUCUUCGCCGCCGUCGUCCGAUUCUGGUUCCCUGCGGAUGCGUCCAGGAUGUCCUUCACCAUGGACUGCGCCGUCUUGAGAUUCUCCAAGGAGACCCAUAAGGCUGAUAGGAUGACAUCGAUGGGCUUGGGGUCGGGAGGGACCCGAUUGGAUGCGAUCAGAGAGGCGUCGCAGGUUUCUGGGUAACGCGUAGCGGCGCAGGCCUGGUGGAUCUGGGGAGGAACAGAGGCGGUGGAGGGCCUGGGGGUGAUGGGUUGGGGGAAAUGCGGGGGGGAGUGGCGAGGGCUAUGGUGGUGAGAGGCGGAGGAGAGGGAGAAGAAGAGGAGGAAGGAGAGAAGAGCGAGAAGGAGGAUAGAAGCCACGGAGAGGAUAAGGACUUUAGAGGAGUGGGGUUUUAUAGGGUUUCUGAAGUGCAUGAUGAUAGUGGAAAUGGGGUUUGGAUUGUAGAGAAUAUUAGAGAAGAAGAGAUUGGGAGGAAUGGAAGUCACGGGUGGCCUCUCACGGUUGUUAAGAUAGCAGUGGUUGAUUCUGUGGUUGGUAGCAUUAAUUGGGCGUGGAAUGUAAAGCAGGUAAAGCCAAGCCACUUACCACCAGGUC
rnacentral:lncRNA from 1 species